rnacentral:rRNA from 1 species
UUCCGGUUGAUCCUGCCGGAGGCCACUGCUAUUGGAGUCCGAUUUAGCCAUGCUAGUCGUCCGGGUUUAGACCCGGGGCGGAAAGCUGAGUAACACGUAGUCAACCUGCCCUACAGAUUGGGAUACCCUCGGGAAACUGAGGCUAAUACCGAAUAGGAGAGGAUGCCUGGAACCGGUACCUCUCUGAAAUGCUCUGGCGCUGUAGGAUGGGACUGCGGCUGAUUAGGUUGACGCCGAGGUAACGUCUCGGUGUGCCAGUGAUCAGUAACGGGCGUGAGAGCGCGAGCCGUCAGUCGUGUUCUGAGACAAGAACACGGGUCCUACGGGACGCAGCAGGCGCGGAAACUUUACAAUGUGCGAAAGCGCGAUAGGGGGACUCCAAGUGCUUCUCGUAAACAAAGCGGGAAGCUUUUCUGUACUUUAAGACGGUACAGGAACAAGUGGUGGGCAAGACUGCUGCCAGCCGCCGCGGU